AUGCCGGCCGGCCAGGAUAGCUCAGCAGGGGGCUGAGACAACCUAGGCAAGCUAGAGUGAUUUGCAGCUCUUUGUGAUAAUCAGCUCUUUUGUGAUAUUCAGCUCUUUGGCUUGCUAGGUGCCGCAGCAGCAGACGCAGGGGAGAGAGGAGAAGAAGCUGUGUGAUGGUUCUGCAGGAUUCUUUUAUUCGGGUCUCCACGAAGGGUCCCAGUGACAGCUCUUCUGCUGAACCGGGCAGAAUUAGGGGUUUUUAUACCCUACAGGGGUUUUGAAAACUGUCCAAUAGUAAGGGUCAGGGGAAAGUGACCUAUGGAUUUAUAGGGAGAUAAGCAGGGUCUGAAAGGCGGAAGAGAGGGACUGCUAGGGUCAUGCUGACUCGGCAUUUCCUAGCUCUUAGGCCUCUGAUCGCCAAGGAGGCCGUGCAGGCCUUGUGCCUGCUACAGAAGUCUGAAUAAUGCAUUACAUGUGUAACGUGCGAAAUGACAUAACUCUGUGGGAAGACUGCAAUUCACAAUCUGGACAUUUUGUUCACGCUCCAUGAAAGUGAAGAACACUUCAGAGGGGAUUUUCUCUGUGCUAACAGUGCCAUCUAACAGGUCACAUUUCCUCUGCUGAGAAUGCUCAUUCUUUUUCCAUGCAGAGCUGAAGACUCUCCAGCAUAUUCAUGCAAGAACAGAAUGUGAAAUAAAAUAAAUGCCAGCAGAAAAUUUAUAUCAGUAAGAGAAAAGGUAAAUAGAAGAGAACCUUUUCAGUUUUAAUAUUAAAGUGGACUUUCAGAGUGAGCCAGGUGGAAUUCUCAGGAUCCAUAUGAGAAAUGUAGACUUACCUCCACAGUGGGUCUUUUUUAAAGUUAUUUUGUUUUUUAAUGAAAAAAAAAAAUAUUGUCUGAUAUUGUGUCUAAACCUUGUCUGAAAGAGCAUCAAAUGAGUUUCCAUGAGUUCCUGGGAUAUAGUGAUCCAAGAAUGUAGCCAUAAUGGUCUUUAUAUGUGCUAACAUCGUCAGAGAAAUUAUUCAUAAAGGGAGAGUCCACAAGACUAGCAGAGUGCUUGUGACUGUUCCUAUUUAGUGUGACAUUUCCUAUUUAAUGACACCUAUGAAAGUCAUAAGAAAGAUAAAUUUGCCUAAUAUAGAACUACAGACAAAAUCAAAUCUAUCUAGAAGGGUCUGGCCAGUGAAUUUUGGAGAAUUCUUAAGGAAGAAUAAAAGCAAAUAAAGGAAACAUAAAAUGCAAUGACUGUUAGUCUUUUAAUAUCACAUUAUUUUAAAAGUUUUAAGUAAGAUAUAUUUGGAUGUUAGUAAUAUGAUAAUCCUACACUUACUAUAAUAAAAGGAACCCCUGGAUACUUACUUGAUGUUCAUUUGAUUUAUUUUAACUUAUUAUAACUAAACAAUAUAUUUACAUACACACACAAACUUCUCCAUAUAUAUGUGUACUUAUGAAUGAAUAACACAUACAGUAUAGGUUACAGAUUGUUCUAUAAUAGUUACAGUUGAUGAGACAAGUCUUGAAUGUUUUUUCCAAUUUGAACAGAAUUUUCAGAAAAAAACCCCAAAACUAAGCUGGAGGAUAGAAGAACACAGCAAUAAAAAAAAAAAAAAAAACAAAAACAAAAAACAAAAAAAAAAAAAAAAAAAAAAAAAACCACAAACAAGGAAAGGUGACAUGUUGAAGAAACUUAAUUUUACCUAAAUAGAAAGCAGAAAGUAGACUAAUCUGCCAUGUUAACUUCACAAGAGACUUAGCAUAUAAAUCUGAGAACCAAGUAUUUUACUGGUUAUCAAAACUUAACCAGUAAAAAUAUUUACACAUUGUUUUAAGUUAAACAUCAAUUUAUACCAUAACAAUCUUUCUGAAUUUCUAUUCAAAACCAUAAUAGUCAGAGGUCCUUAGGUGGAAGAGUAAUUUUUUGUUCAAUCUUCCUCUCUUUCUUGUCAGAGCUAAAUUCAGCCAUUGAAAAAACACAUUCCUAAUUUUUUUUUUUUUUGAGGGCUAAUCUAAAUUAUCAAGAUUGUAUUUUGCCUAAGAGAUAUGCAAAAAUGUUUAUAAGUACGAGACACCUUGGAGAAAAUUAGCAAAUAGUAGAAGGGAUAUAUCAAGUUGAACAAAAGAAAUGCAUUGAGUCAUAAACUCUGUAAGUUGAUCAACUUUGAAGUAAAGAAGCUUAACAAAGUUAAAUGAAUCUAAAAUACUUAGUUUAUUUUCUCUUCUAAAGACCUGCCUUGAAGAUAUUUAUGUUAGAGAUCAAGCCUGUUCAAGAAAGCAAACAGUUACAAUCCUAGGUAUUUUAAUGGUCAAUUUAGUAGGGUACUGAUAGUCUUCACAUUUCUUUCCGAAAAAACUUGAAAUUUUGACUGCAGAAAAAAAAAAAAAUAUAAAACACAUCACUGUUAAUAAUUUUGUCCACAUGAAAACUUUUUUUGCUUGGGUUUCUUUUUAACAACUACUUCAUAGAAAAGAUUGCAGAAAAAAUUUAAGUUGAUAAUAUAUUGGUUAUUUUUCCUUCUGAACAUGUACUAUGUAUCUCCUCUUUUCUACUGUAAAAUUUCACUCCAAUAUAUCUUUCACUUCUGGAAGUCAGUAAGAUAUACAACUACCAACACAUUUGUAUAGACAUAUUUACAACUUCUUUCAAGCUUCAAAUAUGUCAACUUAACAAUAUUCUUUGUCACUCAGGACUUUACUCAGGUACUUACUUUAGUAAAGAAAUCUUCAACUUCAUAUUUCCAACCCUUGUAUGAUGUUUCGUAAGCUUCCUUUUUUUUGGUUAAUUUUUUUUCUCUGUCAGAUUUACUAUUUCCAUGUAUUUAUAACUAAAGAAAUGUUAUCAUUCAACAAAGCUAAGUUCUAAAAUCUUCUUCAGCAACAUAUCAAAGCAUAAAAAAACAUAGUUCUCUACAUCUCAAUGAUUGUGUGCACAGAGACAGAAGUACCCCAGAAAUGUCUAAGUAGAAUUUUGCUGCAUUUUACAACAGACUUAGGCAGAGCUAGUGUCUCACCCAACAUAAUUCUUAAAAUAUAUUAAUUUGAAAUUGAGUAUUUAGCAUGCCUUAAUUAUGUUUUUGAAAAUGACAGUGUUGGAAGCAUAUAGGUCCCUUAUUUGUCCUGAUUAAUAGUUCUUAAGUAUAAGUGAGCAAUAAUCCCAUUUUUCUACUAUUUCUAUUGUUGUUCUCUAAAACCAUACUGAACAAUAUUAAGACCACAGCAACAUUACCUACAUAUAUGCUCAUUCUGUAUACCUUUGCAUAUAAUAUUUUGCUGGGGGUAGGCUUUCUUUACUUUUGUUCCUUUUCACUUACGGAUUUUUUUCCCAUUGAGUUGCUGGGAAGCACUGAUGACUGGGUGCUUGAGAUGGUGGAGAGGUGACCAGGCCUCGGGGAAGGAGGGGUCUGGUGGCACUCCCUGGUUUUUGGGAGUUUCUGUCAGAGGGGCAGAAGUGCUGCAAGACUGGAGCAGGUGGGGGCAGGACUGGGGCAGCUGCUUGCUCUCUCUCACUCUUGGCUUUCAGGGGAGGAAGGUUGGAGCUGCUGCUUGGGAAGGGAAUUCGUUGCUGCCGCCAGAGCCCAGCCCAGAGCUGUUUCUUCUGCCAUGAGUUUUCUUCAAUUACCUGUUGAUGGUUAGAAAUCAGCUCAAUUGUCCCCCUGCUGGGAGGGAACAUCUAAAGACUUCAGGUAACAGGGGGGAGGUGAUGUCAGAGCUAGUGUGCAGAUGAGGAAGCCCCCUCACCAAAUCUUGCAAAAAAACCCCUAAAACCAACAAGCCAACAUGGAAUUAAGAUAUCUAAGUGAUGUCUAAAGGUCAGGAACUUAAUCCCAUGACUGCUAAGAUCCUUUUACCUCUCACCAUAACCUCAGCUAGAAAGAGGACCUCGAAGGUCGAACUAAAAAGAUGGAAUCUCCUACUUCUCUCCUGAGGAGGGAAGCCCCAGCUCUGCCUGCAGACCAGUGGACACAGCUGCAUCAUCCUCCUCCUCCGUGCCACACCUGGGAGCACCGGCGGUGUGGGUGCGACCCAUCAGUUUCUCCCCACUUGAGCUGAAUUUUUAAAUAAAGGCAUU